UACAGAGGGUGCGAGCGUUGUCCGGAAUCACUGGGCGUAAAGGGCGCGUAGGCGGUCUGCUAAGCGUGUGGUGAAAGCCCGGGGCUCAACCCCGGGUCGGCCGUGCGAACUGGUGGACUGGAGCUUGUCAGAGGCAGGCGGAAUUCCGGGUGUAGCGGUGGAACGCGUAGAGAUCCGGAAGAACACCGGUGGCGAAGGCGGCCUGCUGGGACAGUGCUGACGCUGAAGCGCGACAGCGUGGGGAGCAAACAGG
rnacentral:rRNA from 1 species